rnacentral:lncRNA from 1 species
AUCUGACAAAUGUUAUAAGUGCUACACUCAUGAACUUAUCAUCCAUCAACUUGUCUUGCUCACUAUGCUUAAGGUUAGAGAAGAACAAAUACACUUUUGGUUCUGUUGGUGUUUUCCACCAACAGGGCCCAUGCACUUGAUCUCUGCCUUGUCUCUAUGAGCAGGUACACUACGAGCACAAACACAUUGAGCAAGAUACUGCUAACACCGCACUUCGAACUGCUGGGCAAACGAAGAACAUGGGUGACACCGUAUUAAAAGGUGCAGACGUCAAGGUCCGCACCUGAAUCAAAUGACGCACCUGAAGAAUGAACACGAUGAGAAGUCUUGACAAGAAGACUUAAAACAUUGAACCCUCGCCGAAAGGUAAGAUUGGUAGUUAUCCAUAUUUAUCCUUUAUGCAUUCCCUUUUCCAUUUAAUUAUUUACUUUCCUUAAAUAGAUUAUUAGUUAAUCAUGCUAUCUUGAAAAGAAAAUAAAAAUGUUAAAAAAUACUAAGUCCCAUGUGAGUAUACGAGUGGCAUAAAACCCAUAAGUAUCUUCACUGUGGUGGCAUAAAAAUAAAAUAAAUAUUUCUUUCUACUUUAUAAAAUAAAAAUAUAAAAAUAAGGAGUAAUAUUUAUUGAGGAAGCUCAACGUGAUGAAGGUUAGAUAUUUAUGCUAACACUUAAUUAGUUCCACAAGCUUUGUUGUCUAUUUGAGCUCCACAGAAUUUAAGAAUCAAGAAGACUAGCAGACGGAGGACAUUCUAAUCGCUGUCAGAAUGCUGCUGACUUUCAAAUACACUUCUGCCACCUGCUAGCUACAUCAAGAGAAAUUACGUUAAAAUUCAGCUUGGGGGAGAGCACCCCCAUUUAUCUCUAUAAGUAUUUCUAUCUAUCUUUAUACUUAUAUUAUUUUAGAAUAUUAAAAUAUAAACUAUGAAAAACCAAAUAAAGAUUUAUGCUUAUAUAUAUAUAUCUUUUGCUUAGUGUGUUUAAUAAAUAAAUAAAGUGGCUAUGCUAAUCUGUAUCUAAAUAAAACUUAAGCAUGGAUAUGAUGAAUGGUUGCUCUGCCUAAUUUGCAUAUUUUAAGUUCUCUCUCAAGUUUAGACAUAACUGUUAUAAUUUAAAGCUUGCUCUAGACCUAAACUUGUGGGAUGAAAAUUUGAUCUCAAGUCUAAGUUGUUAACGGAUAUGAUAUGGAAAGGUUGAGCUGUUGUUUAUCUGUUCCUAGAGAUGCUAUAAUUCUGGAGAAUUUUAUCUUUGAAAAUCUUUAAAAUGUUGCAUGAUGAGUUUCUGUAUGAUGAGAGUUUAAAUUCCUACCACAACCAUAUAUACAUGCUUGCUAGACUUUGAAGCCAUACAUUUACUAUUUACUGCUUAUGAGCAUUGAGUGUGGUCAAGCUGUGUAGACCCUUAGGAGCUUGUCAUGUGGUUAAAUCAAGAUUUCACUUGCACGUUCACUCAUAUAUGCUACUUCUACUCCGGAAGUACCAUCCACAUAUAUCCACCCAUUCCAUCUCCAGAAUCACCCAAAAAUAUUCUACUCCUAAUCCGGGAGAGAAUAGCCAAAAAUAUUUCUGUUUUCCCUUGUGAAAUAAAUGCUCAAGUUAUUUUGUUACUACCACUUGCUAUAUUAUCUCAAGAGAUGAGUGCUCUAAAAAAAAGAAAAAAAAGAAAAAAAAAUAUAUAAAUAUAAUACGAGGAAAUAAAAAGGAGCAAGUGCUUGGAACCUCGAAAGAAAAGAAAAAGUGAGACGAGAGGUAAAAAUGGACAAGUGUCCGAUAGUAGAAUUAGGGGUACAAGAUACCCACCUGAGAGAACAGGAAAAGAAGAGCAUCUCAUUCUCCACACUAUUCAAAAAGCAAGGAAGGUAUGUAUCCCCUCAAAGAGCAAAGUAGAAUUAGACUUCCACCAUUGUUAUCACCAUCAUCACCAUACACCAUUCAUUCGCCACACAUGCACAUCUUGAUUUGACUUAUUGAUUUGUUUCUUUGGAUCCACGGUUUGACUAUGCAAUAAAUGUCUUGUAAGUAUGUAUACUUUAUCUCCCACCUAUGAGCUCCAGAUAUUAAAGCCUUAUUAGAGUAGGGUGAGAGAGUAGACAAUGUCACUAUGCUUCGUACCAUAAAUACUACAUAUCUUGAGAGAAGGCAUAUACCAUCACUGCCUUGGUAAGGAUCCAGAAAUACCACAAAAGAGAGAUCUGAGAGAAUCAUACAAGGAAUCCCUGAGUUUUACUUGAAAACCUGCAAAAAACCCCAGAGCUAUAGCUGAUCAAGAAUAAGAGACAUGGCACUUGGCUAGACUGUUCUAUCUUUUAACCACUCAAGACAGAAGUGACAGUUACAAGUCCCAUAGUGAAAGGUAAAGUAAGUAAGUUUUAAGUCUUGACAGUUUACUCUAACUCAGAGAUGAGAACUUAUUUAAAAAGCAUGUGUACCGUC